UCCGGUUUGGCACCGGCAGUCCCCCUGGAGUCCCCGGCAUUAUCCGCUGGUAACUAAGGGCGAGGGUUGCGCUCGUUGCGGGACUUAACCCAACAUCUCACGACACGAGCUGACGACAGCCAUGCAGCAUCUGUGCUGGAACUCCGAAGAGGGGCUCACGUUUCCGCAAGCUUUCUCCAGCAUGUCAAGCCUAGGUAAGGUUCUUCGCGUUGCAUCGAAUUAAGCCACAUGCUCCGCCGCUUGUGCGGGUCCCCGUCAAUUCCUUUGAGUUUUAGCCUUGCGGCCGUACUCCCCAGGCGGGGUGCUUAAUGCGUUGGCGACGGCACGGAAGGGGUUGAUGCCUCCCACACCUAGCACCCAACGUUUACGGCUGGGACUAC
rnacentral:misc_RNA from 1 species